rnacentral:rRNA from 1 species
CCUACGGGAGGCAGCAGUGAGGAAUAUUGGUCAAUGGGCUUACGCCUGAACCAGCCAAGUCGCGUGAGGGAAGACUUCCCUAUGGGUUGUAAACCUCUUUUGUCAGGGAGCAAUUGGCGCUACGUGUAUCGUUAUCGAGAGUACCUUAAGAAAAAGCAGCGGCUAACUCGGUUCCAGCGCCCGCGUUAUAACGGGGGAUGCGCGCGUUAUCCGGUUUUAUUGGUGUUAAGGGGGGCGUAGGCGGAAUGCCAAGUCAACGGUAAAAGCGCGGGGCUCAACCUCGCACCGCCGUUGAAACUGGCGGUCUGGAGUGCGCGAGAAGUAUGCGGAAUGCGUGGUGUAGCGGUGAAAUGCAUAGAUAUCACGAAGAACACCGAUUGCGAAGGCAGCAUACCGGAGCCCAACUGACGCUGAAGCACGAAAGCGUGGGUAUCGAACAGGAUUAGAUACCCUAGUAGUC